AUGGUUUUGCAGGAUUUCCCCAAGAACAUAGACCACCUUGCCGCAUUCUGGGACAAACUCACGGUGGACCAGGCCCAAGCGAUACUGUCCUUGGAGGGCGUGGCUAUAGAGGAGACCAGCGCUUUAUUCAUUUUGACAUCAUUGUCGUCAUGGAUGUAUCCAGGGUACGCUUCAUUGCCGCUGCCAUAUGCCAGAUCCGGCAAUGAACACCUGGAUGACAGUGGAAGCCAUGUUGUUGUUUUGUUUGUUCCCAGCCCUGACUAUGGUCUUCGAGCGAGUCCGGCAUGUUGUUCAUCUGACUAUGUUCAUCCAGCGAGUCCAGUAUGUUCAUGA
rnacentral:rRNA from 1 species